rnacentral:rRNA from 1 species
UACGGAGGGUGCAAGCGUUAUCCGGAUUCACUGGGUUUAAAGGGUGCGUAGGUGGGUCUGUAAGUCAGUGGUGAAAUCUCCGGGCUUAACCCGGAAACUGCCAUUGAUACUAUAGGUCUUGAAUUAUCUGGAGGUGAGCGGAAUAUGUCAUGUAGCGGUGAAAUGCUUAGAUAUGACAUAGAACACCAAUUGCGAAGGCAGCUGGCUACGCAUAUAUUGACACUGAGGCACGAAAGCGUGGGGAUCAAACAGG